AUUCAGUAGCCUACCAGUGAGUCGUUUGAAUGAUUCAAACGUGGUGCUCCAAAUGCACGUUGGACACUUCGGUUGUGGCUGUGUUUGGAAUAAUUUUCGCAACUUUAACUACAACAAAUAAACCGAAGGAUGCAAUUGACUGUAUGGCUGACAAUAGAGUGGGCAAACUCCACGCCCUGUCGAAUUCCACGUACAUCACAGGGACCUUUGGGAUGUCGGGCCACCCUCCGCUACCUACCUACCUCCACAUUUUCAUCUGGAGGAAUCCCGUCGGGGACUCGUCCUCUCUCUUCGGCUCAGUGCUGUACUAUUCUUGGAAAAAGCCUCAUGAACUGCAGGGACUUGUCAUUUGCUGUAGGGGGCCAUGCGUCCUGAAGUGCGGAGACAGUUUGGUUGUGCUGUACGCAUCCUAUUUGUGGCCCUUCUCGCAUUGUUUGGUACGAGUGUGGCUGCUAUUUACGAUGUGGCUGUUGUUGAUUGACUAGUGCAGUAAUUUGAGGAGUGUUAGGGCUCUUAUCCUGGUAGAGGAAGAGAGAUGGAACAGGACAAAGAGCAUUGAUUGUUUAUGGCUAAAAGAUUUACAUGACUGUAACAUAUAUUCUUUUACUUUACAUUUAGUAUUACGUUUAACAUGUCUCCUUUGUUUUUAAAUCCAAAGCCUAGUGGAAAGCUGGAGGGUGGUGAGCUCAGAAAAUACACAGAUAUGCAUAUUCAUUCUCAUCUUCACCUUUGCUUUUACAAAUGCAAAUGCUGUUAAUAAAGUUUAAUUGAAAUUAAACCCGAC
rnacentral:lncRNA from 1 species